ensembl:lncRNA
AUGGGUAUUAAGUAUGGGGUCACAAUAACAGAUCAUAUACCUUUGGCCCUCACAAUUAACAUUGAAGAAUUACCAUCUACAGUCACCAACAACAAUGCUAUCAGUGGUAAUGUGAGUACUAAAUUAGACUGGUCAACUCUUUCUGAAGAGGAUCUUUUGGCUUAUUAUACUAAUACAGACCAUUAUCUAAGUAAUGUUUAUCUGCCCAGAGAAGCUAUUAUGUGUAAGGAUGUCAACUGUCAGAUUGAGGAGCACAAGAGUAAUCUAUGUGUCAUGUAUGAUGAUGUUGUGGCUGCUCUGUUGGAGGGUGGUAAACCUCUUCAAAAACACAGGAGAAACAGGGCCUAUAAUAUUAGACCAGGAUGGAAUGAGCAUGUAGCACCAUAUCACACUGAAGCUCGGGAAGCUUACAAGCUUUGGGCCCUGGCUGGGAGACCUAGGCAGGGCCCUGAGCUUGAGAAUAAAAAGCUUGCCAAUGCCAGAUAUAAGUAUGCUGUUCGUUUUAUAUCUAGAAAUGAGCAAGCCAUGAGGGCUGACUCUAUGGCCAGUAAAAUGAUGAGCAACAAUAUUACUGACUUUUGGAAGGAGGUGAGGUCCCUCAAUAACUGUAAAUCUUCCCUUCCUUGUACUGUUGAAGGAGUCUCCGGAGAAGAUAAUGUUGUUGAAAUAUGGAGACAGCACUAUAGCUCCCUCUUUAAUUGUUUAAAACAUGAUCCACAUGUGGAGGACUCUGCUAUCAGUAAUGAAUCAAUAAGUAUUCUGACACAUGAGGUAUUUGGUGCCAUAUGGAAAUUACCUAACAAUAAAGCAUGUGGUAUGGAUUCAAUAACUGCAGAGCAUCUGAAAAAUGCCAGUCUUAGGCUUGCUUCCCUCUUAGCAAUCAACUUUACUGGUUUGUUGAUCCAUGGCAUACUUCCAGAUUCAAUGUUAUCUAUUCUGCUUGUCCCAGUUAUUAAGGACAAAGCUGGAAAAGUUGGCUGCCUGGAUAAUUAUAGACCUAUAGCAUUGGCCAGUAUUUUAUCCAAGGUAAUGGAAAGAGCAGGAGCUUCUUAA